ACAUACUGUGAUGUGACAUCCUCAGCUGGGCUAUACAAUGCACUUCUAACCCUUUCAUAGAGGGAGGAGAGAAAGAUGACAAACUACUUCUUUCAAUGAAGAAUGGUUUCUGGGAAGAGAGCAUUCUGGAGUGGGACGGAGACAAAACACUGUAUCUGGAAUUCAUUUUCUUCAUUGAAGAUUUUCCAGAUUCAGAUCUCAGCUCCUGACAAGGGAUUCAGGGCAGAACUAAAAUAUGAUGACUGACUUGGCAGCAGGGAAAAAAGGUCAUUUACUCUAAUGCAAUAAA